rfam:Ictidomys tridecemlineatus contig069756, whole genome shotgun sequence.
GGAGCUGGGGCUCAGUGGUGGAGCGCUUGCCUGACACGUGUGAGGCACUGGGUUCGAUCCUCAGCAGCACAU